GCGGAUGUGGCGGAAUUGGUAGACGCACUGGAUUUAGGUUCCAGCGCCGCAAGGUGUGAAGGUUCGAGUCCUUUCAUCCGCA
rnacentral:tRNA from 1 species